rnacentral:rRNA from 1 species
GAUGAACGCUGGCGGCGUGCCUAAUACAUGCAAGUCGAGCGAACAGACGAGGAGCUUGCUCCUUCGACGUUAGCGGCGGACGGGUGAGUAACACGUAGGUAACCUACCUAUAAGACUGGGAUAACUUCGGGAAACCGGAGCUAAUACCGGAUAAUAUUUCGAACCGCAUGGUUCGAUAGUGAAAGAUGGCUUUGCUAUCACUUAUAGAUGGACCUGCGCCGUAUUAGCUAGUUGGUAAGGUAACGGCUUACCAAGGCAACGAUACGUAGCCGACUUGAGAGGGUGAUCGGCCACACUGGAACUGAGACACGGUCCAGACUACUACGGGAGGCAGCAGUAGGGAAUCUUCCGCAAUGGGCGAAAGCCUGACGGAGCAACGCCGCGUGAGUGAUGAAGGUCUUCGGAUCGUAAAACUCUGUUAUUAGGGAAGAACAAACGUGUAAGUAACUGUGCACGUCUUGACGGUACCUAAUCAGAAAGCCACGGCUAACUACGUG